GACGAACGCUGGCGGCGUGCUUAACACAUGCAAGUCGAACGAUUAAAGCAUCCUCGGGUGUGUAUCAAGUGGCGAACGGCUGAGUAACACGUGGGCAACCUGCCCCUCACAUUGGGAUAGCCACGGGAAACCGUGGAUAAUACCGAAUACUUCGGGACUUCCGCAUGGUAGUUUCGAGAAAGUUUCGGCGGAGAGGGAGGGGCCCGCGGCUUGUCAGCUUGUUGGUGGGGUAGUGGCCUACCACGGCAAGGAUGGGUAGCUGGGUUGAGAGGUAGACCGGCCAGAUGGGGACUGAGACAGGGCCCGUCCCCUAAGGGGGGGCAGCGUGGGGAAUAUUGGCACAUGGGGCGAAGGCCGAUGGCAGCAAGGCCGGGGGCGGAUGGAGGGCUUUGGGGUGUUAAACCGUUUUGAGCGGGGACGAGCCUAUUGUGACGGUACCUGCAGAAGAAGCCCCGGCUAACUACGUG
rnacentral:rRNA from 1 species